ACUACGGGAGGCAGCAGUGAGGAAUAUUGGUCAAUGGGCGGAAGCCUGAACCAGCCAAGUAGCGUGCAGGAUGACGGCCCUACGGGUUGUAAACUGCUUUUAUACGGGAAUAACGCGCCUUACGUGUAGGGCUUUGCAUGUACCGUAUGAAUAAGGACCGGCUAAUUCCGUGCCAGCAGCCGCGGUAAUACGGAGGGUCCGGGCGUUAUCCGGAUUUAUUGGGUUUAAAGGGCGCGUAGGCCGCAUGUCAAGCGUGCUGUGAAAUGUCCGGGCUCAACCCGGGCCUUGCAGCGCGAACUGGCGUGCUUGAGUACGCGGAAAGCAGGCGGAAUUCGUCGUGUAGCGGUGAAAUGCUUAGAUAUGACGAAGAACCCCGAUUGCGAAGGCAGCUUGCUGCAGCGGAACUGACGCUGAUGCUCGAAAGCGCGGGUAUCGAACAGGAUUAGAUACCCGAGUAGUC
rnacentral:rRNA from 1 species